ACCUACGCCCCGAGGGAGCCACUGCCCCUGCCCCCGCUCCGGGGCAGCGAAUGCAGCCCCAGGACCCUCCACCCUCAACCUACACCACCCCAGGCCACACCCCGCCGCUCACGCUCCCCAUCCGCGGCUGGCUGACUCUUACUCAGGGGAGUGGGCUCGCGUCCGGGGAGACACACAGUGCUCUAGAGGAUCGUCGCGGACCGAAGAGGUUACAGCGGCCACCUGGCGCGGGAACAGCAUGACAGACCUCCGGCCGGGGCUCCGCCCCUCAGGCCCAGCCCUCCGCUCGCCCUUCGCCAACCGCCGGUCACCAUUACUUUAAGUACUGCAAAAUCUCAGCAUUGGCUCUGCUGAAGAUGGUGAUGCAUGCCAGAUCGGGAGGCAACUUGGAAGUGAUGGGUCUGAUGCUAGGAAAGGUGGAUGGUGAAACCAUGAUCAUUAUGGACAGUUUUGCUUUGCCUGUGGAGGGCACUGAAACCCGAGUAAAUGCUCAGGCUGCUGCAUAUGAAUACAUGGCUGCAUACAUAGAAAAUGCGAAACAGGUUGGCCGCCUUGAAAAUGCAAUCGGGUGGUAUCAUAGCCACCCUGGCUAUGGCUGCUGGCUUUCUGGGAUUGAUGUUAGUACUCAGAUGCUCAAUCAGCAGUUCCAGGAACCA
rnacentral:sRNA from 1 species